rnacentral:piRNA from 1 species
UGAUUGUACACACCUGACAACAGACCAGU